rnacentral:rRNA from 1 species
GAUCCUGGCUCAGGAUGAACGCUAGCUACAGGCUUAACACAUGCAAGUCGAGGGGCAGCAUGAACUUAGCUUGCUAAGUUUGAUGGCGACCGGCGCACGGGUGAGUAACACGUAUCCAACCUGCCGAUGACUCGGGGAUAGCCUUUCGAAAGAAAGAUUAAUACCCGACUGGCAUAGUUCUUUCCGCAUGGUAGGAACUAUUAAAGGAAUUUCGGUUCAUCGAUGGGGAGUGCGUUCC